AUUGAACGCUGGCGGAAUGCUUUACACAUGCAAGUCGAGCGGCAGCGCGGGGCAACCUGGCGGCGAGUGGCGAACGGGUGAGUAAUGCAUCGGAACGUGCCCGGUCGUGGGGGAUAACGCAGCGAAAGCUGCGCUAAUACCGCAUACGAUCUGAGGAUGAAAGCGGGGGACCGUAAGGCCUCGCGCGAUCGGAGCGGCCGAUGUCAGAUUAGGUAGUUGGUGGGGUAAAGGCUCACCAAGCCGACGAUCUGUAGCUGGUCUGAGAGGACGACCAGCCACACUGGGACUGAGACACGGCCCAGACUCCUACGGGAGGCAGCAGUGGGGAAUUUUGGACAAUGGGCGCAAGCCUGAUCCAGCAAUGCCGCGUGCAGGAAGAAGGCCUUCGGGUUGUAAACUGCUUUUGUACGGAGCGAAAAGGCUCUCUCUAAUACAGGGGGCUCAUGACGGUACCGUAAGAAUAAGCACCGGCUAACUACGUGCCAGCCGCCGCGGUAA
rnacentral:rRNA from 1 species